rnacentral:rRNA from 1 species
AGGACGAACGCUGGCGGCGUGCUUAACACAUGCAAGUCGAGCGGAAAGGCCCUUCGGGGUACUCGAGCGGCGAACGGGUGAGUAACACGUGAGUAAUCUGCCCCUAGCUCUGGGAUAGCUCCGGGAAACCGGGGAUUAAUACUGGAUACGACCACCUUAGACAUCUUUUGUGGUGGAAAGAAUUUCGGCUAGGGAUGAGCUCGCGGCCUAUCAGCUUGUUGGUGGGGUAACGGCCUACCAAGGCGACGACGGGUA